ensembl:misc_RNA Metazoa_SRP Metazoan signal recognition particle RNA
GUCAGGCACAGUGACACACACCUGUAGUCCCACCUACUUGGGAGGCUGAGGCAAGAGGAUCACUUGGGCCUAGGAGUUCUAGGCUAUCCUAUGGUAUGCCAAUCAGUUGUCCACACUAAGUUUGGCUUCAAUAAGGUGACCUCCAAGGACCAGAGGACCAUCAGGUUGCCUAAGGUGGGGUGAACCGGACCAUGUCCAAAACAGACCAAGUCAAAACUACCACACUGAUCAGUAGCAGGAUUGUGCCUAUGAUUAGCCAGAACACAAUAGCAGAGCACACAGAGCCCACACUGGAGGUACUCCCU